rnacentral:tRNA from 1 species
UUGACUAAAGCCAAAAAGAGGCUAGCCAUUGUUACUGGUUAUAUUGGGUUUACCUUGUCGUU